UGCCGCGUGAAUGAUGAAGGUCUUAGGAUUGUAAAAUUCUUCACCGGGAAGAUAAUGACGGUACCCGGAGAAGAAGCCCGGCUAACUUCGUGC
rnacentral:rRNA from 1 species